GUGAUUGAUACAUGGUGAUAUGGUUUGGCUGUGUCUCCACACAAAUCUCGUCUUGAAUUGCAGCUCCCAUAAUUCCCACCUGUUGUGGGAGGGACCCUGUGGGAGAUAAUUGAAUCACGGGGGCAGUUUCCCCCAUACUGUUCUCAUGGUAGUGAGUAAGUCUCACCAGAUCUGAUGGUUUUAUAAGGGGAAACCCCUUUGGCUUGGUUCUUAUUCUUUCUUUUGUCUGCUGCCAUGUCAGAUGUGCCUUUUGCCUUUUGCCAUAAUUGUGAGGCCUCCUCAGCCGUGUGGCACUGUGAGUCCAUUAAGCCUUCUUUCUCUUUAUAAAUUACCCAGUCUUGAGUAUGUCUUUAUCAGCAGUGUAAAAACGGAUGAACAUACACCUCCCACAGACAGGAACCAAAGCCAGCAGAACAAAGCAGCCCCAGAUGUGUUCUACUCUAUUAUCUGAAGUAAAUGAAAAUCAACCCUGAGGUAGAGAACCUCCUUCUACUACCAUCAAAGUCCUUGAUCUGUUUCCCAACAUGAAUUAACCUUUCCAUGUUUUCGUUACAUUUGAACAUCAGGAAUGUGUAGACGGAAGCAGUUCAUCCUGGGAGGUGAGAAUGAGCAUUGAAAGAGCCAUCCGUGAAACCGUAAGGCUGGGAAAGAGAAGUGAAGGGGCACAUGGAAGUGUUCAUCUCUGGGGCAGGGAAAAACAAUCCGGAGAAGAUGAGUCACACCUCAUUUGUAACCCAUGAAUGAAAAUCAAUACUGUUACUUAUCAUAAAUUACACUGAACAUAGUGCUUACACUUGAGUAUCAAUGCAGUAAAACCACUAUGAGCCAAUUGAUUGACUUUUCUAGAUCCCAAUUCUAUCAUUCAUCUUCUGGUAUUCAUCUUCUGGCUUAGCUACUAUUUCCUGGCACAGAUUCUUAAUAAAGAUCCUUUCUCCUUGGUCCCAGA
rnacentral:lncRNA from 1 species